UGAGCAAUCUGCCCUUCUCAUCGGAAUAAGCGUUGGAAACGACGUCUAAUGCCGAAUACGACCUCCUUUCGCAUGAUCGGAGGUGGAAAGCUCCGGCGGAGAAGGAUGAGCUCGCGGCCUAUCAGCUAGUUGGUGUGGGUAAUGGCCCACCAAGGCGACGACGGGUAGCCGGCCUGAGGAGGGUGACCCGGCCACACUGGGACUGAGACACGGCCCAGACUCCGUACGGGAGCA
rnacentral:rRNA from 1 species